CGAAGGGAUGCCGAGAGCCCUUGGAGGCCAGGGAUUCCGUGUCUCUUCCACUGCUAUGGUCCCGGCGCCCAGCAGCGUCCAUCGUUCGACCACCAACAGCCGAGCAUCCUCUACCGCCGGGCAGGGCUUCAGGGUCCCACUCAAGGACACCCUCUCCAGGCAGAAGCCCAUCAGACUCAUUGAACUCUGGGCCACCCACAAACACCCCACUCCCAUAGGUCCCAGGGAACUUCUCUUCCCAGAUCACGCCCUUCCAAGAAGCCCAGAGACAAUCCAUUCCAGUCCAGGGAGUGGCUCAGCUUUGCCCGGCCCCCUGCUUCCAGGAACAGACCUUCAACAAUCUACAGUAUGAGGACUGGGGGCAGGAGCUCUGGAAUCAGUCAGACCCAGCUUGGAAUCGGCCUCUGUUACUCAACAGAAGCUAUCUGAGCCUCAGUUUUCCCGUCUGCAAAGUGGGUCUAUCCGGUACCCACUUCACAAGAUUGUGGUAGAAUGAAACAGCACUGAGAACAGCGUGAGCCGUCAUUAAAUGAUAGACAAGGUUAUGUUUGAGAGCAUCGUACCAUUCUGCGCCCAGAACUCCAGAGUUUGAAUCCCAACCCCACAACUUAUUCGUUAGAUGAUCCGGGGCUAAUCACUUGGGCUCUUAAUAAUAGUGCCAACCCUGUAAGGCUGUAGUGAGGAUUAAACAUAUGCAAAGCAUCUAAA